GACGAACGCUGGCGGCGUGCCUAACACAUGCAAGUCGAGCGGAGUUAGUUUGUAGCUUGCUACAAACUAACUUAGCGGCGGACGGGUGAGUAACGCGUGGAUAACCUGCCUUUUACAGGGGGAUAACACAGGGAAACUUGUGCUAAUACCGCAUAACAUAUCGAUGUGGCAUCACAUUGGUAUCAAAGGAGAAAUCCGGUAGAAGAUGGAUCCGCGUCCGAUUAGCUAGUUGGCGGGGUAAAGGCCCACCAAGGCAACGAUCGGUAGACGAACUGAGAGGUUGAUCGGCCACAUUGGGACUGAGACACGGCCCAGACUCCUACGGGAGGCAGCAGUGGGGAAUAUUGCGCAAUGGGGGAAACCCUGACGCAGCAACGCCGCGUGAAGGAUGAAGGCUUUCGGGUUGUAAACUUCUUUAGUCGGGGACGAAAAAAUGACGGUACCCGAAGAAUAAGCCACGGCUAACUACGUGCCAGCCGCCGCAGUAAGAC
rnacentral:rRNA from 1 species